AGCAGCAGGCGCGAAACCUCUGCAAUAGGCGAAAGCCUGACAGGGUUAUUCUGAGUGACUUUCGCUAAGAAAGUCUUUUGACACCUCUAAAAAUGGUGUAGAAUAAGGGAUGGGCAAGUCUGGUGCAGCAGCCGCGGUAAUUC
rnacentral:rRNA from 1 species